rnacentral:misc_RNA from 1 species
AACACCUCAAAGACAUUUCUGAUUUAUUUCUGGAAUGACUUUGGACUUGAGCAAUCCCAACACCAGUCGUUUACGAUCGGCGGAGGGUUGCUUGAAAUGCAGGUGCAGCUGGACAUUCUCCUGAGCUAUAAGCAUAUCUAUUUAGUCCCGUCAAACGGAUUAUUACUUUUGCUGCAGCUAACAUAAAGGGAGUCUGACCGUAUUGGCUGACUGAUGCAGGAUUUCACAGGGGUUGGAAACGACUCUUGUAAA